rnacentral:rRNA from 1 species
UUCUAAGGGCGUUGAAGCAUGAUCGCAAGGACAUGUGGAGCGCUUAGAAGUGAGAAUGCCGGUGUGAGUAGCGAAAGACGGGUGAGAAUCCCGUCCACCGAUUGACUAAGGUUUCCAGAGGAAGGCUCGUCCGCUCUGGGUUAGUCGGGUCCUAAGCUGAGGCCGACAGGCGUAGGCGAUGGAUAACAGGUUGAUAUUCCUGUACCACCAUUAUUCGUUUUAAGCGAUGGGGGGACGCAGUAGGAUAGGCGAAGCGUGCUGUUGGAGUGCACGUCCAAGCAGUGAGAUUGAGUGUUAGGCAAAUCCGGCACUCUUAAGAUUGAGCUGUGAUGGGGAGAGGAACUUGUUCCUCGAGUCGUUGAUUUCACACUGCCGAGAAAAGCCUCUAGCUAGAAUAACGGUGCCCGUACCGCAAACCGACACAGGUAGUCAAGAUGAGAAUUCUAAGGUGAGCGAGCGAACUCUCGUUAAGGAACUCGGCAAAAUGACCCCGUAACUUCGGGAGAAGGGGUGCUCUUUGAGGUUCACGCUUCGAAGAGCCGCAGUGAAUAGGCCCAAGCGACUGUUUAUCAAAAACACAGGUCUCUGCUAAACCGUAAGGUGACGUAUAGGGGCUGACGCCUGCCCGGUGCUGGAAGGUUAAGAGGAGUGGUUAGCGCAAGCGAAGCUACGAAUCGAAGCCCCAGUAAACGGCGGCCGUAACUAUAACGGUCCUAAGGUAGCGAAAUUCCUUGUCGGGUAAGUUCCGACCCGCACGAAAGGCGUAACGAUUUGGGCACUGUCUCAACGAGAGACUCGGUGAAAUCAUAGUACCGGUGAAGAUGCCGGUUACCCGCGACAGGACGGAAAGACCCCGUGGAGCUUUACUGUAGCCUGAUAUUGAAAUUCGGUACAGUUUGUACAGGAUAGGUAGGAGCCUUAGAAGCGUGAGCGCUAGCUUACGUGGAGGCAUUGGUGGGAUACUACCCUAAUUGUAUUGGAUUUCUAACCCGCAGCACUUAUCGUGCUGGGAGACAGUGUCAGGCGGGCAGUUUGACUGGGGCGGUCGCCUCCUAAAGAGUAACGGAGGCGCUCAAAGGUUCCCUCAGAAUGGUUGGAAAUCAUUCAUAGAGUGUAAAGGCAUAAGGGAGCUUGACUGCGAGACCUACAAGUCGAGCAGGGUCGAAAGACGGACUUAGUGAUCCGGUGGUUCCGCAUGGAAGGGCCAUCGCUCAACGGAUAAAAGCUACCCCGGGGAUAACAGGCUUAUCUCCCCCAAGAGUUCACAUCGACGGGGAGGUUUGGCACCUCGAUGUCGGCUCAUCGCAUCCUGGGGCUGUAGUCGGUCCCAAGGGUUGGGCUGUUCGCCCAUUAAAGCGGUACGCGAGCUGGGUUCAGAACGUCGUGAGACAGUUCGGUCCCUAUCCGUCGUGGGCGUAGGAAAUUUGAGAGGAGCUGUCCUUAGUACGAGAGGACCGGGAUGGACAUACCUCUGGUGUACCAGUUGUCGUGCCAACGGCAUAGCUGGGUAGCUAUGUAUGGACGGGAUAAGUGCUGAAAGCAUCUAAGCAUGAAGCCCCCCUCGAGAUGAGAUUUCCCAACUUCGGUUAUAAGAUCCCUCAA